GACGAACGCUGGCGGCGUGCUUAACACAUGCAAGUCGAACGGAAAGGCCCUGCUUUUGUGGGGUGCUCGAGUGGCGAACGGGUGAGUAACACGUGAGUAACCUGCCCUUGACUUUGGGAUAACUUCAGGAAACUGGGGCUAAUACCGGAUAGGAGCUCCUGCUGCAUGGUGGGGGUUGGAAAGUUUCGGCGGUUGGGGAUGGACUCGCGGCUUAUCAGCUUGUUGGUGGGGUAGUGGCUUACCAAGGCUUUGACGGGUAGCCGGCCUGAGAGGGUGACCGGCCACAUUGGGCCUGAGAUACGGCCCAGACUGCUACGGGAGGCAGCAGUGGGGAGUAUUGCACAAUGGGCGGAAGCCUGAUGCAGCGACGCCGCGUGCGGGAUGACGGCCUUCUGGUUGUAAACCGCUUUCGCCUGUGACGAAGCGUGAGUGACGGUAAUGGGUAAAGAAGCACCGGCUAACUACGUG
rnacentral:rRNA from 1 species